rnacentral:rRNA from 1 species
AAGCGUAUCCGGAUUUUUGGGCGUAAAGCGAGCGCAGGCGGUUUUUAAGUCUGAUGUGAAAGCCCUCGGCUUAACCGAGGAAGCGCAUCGGAAACUGGGAAACUUGAGUGCAGAAGAGGACAGUGGAACUCCAUGUGUAGCGGUGAAAUGCGUAGAUAUAUGGAAGAACACCAGUGGCGAAGGCGGCUGUCUGGUCUGUAACUGACGCUGAGGCUCGAAAGCAUGGGUAGCGAACAGGAUUAGAUACCCUGGUAGUCCAUGCCGUAAACGAUGAAUGCUAGGUGUUGGAGGGUUUCCGCCCUUCAGUGCCGCAGCUAACGCAUUAAGCAUUCCGCCUGGGGAGUACGACCGCAAGGUUGAAACUCAAAGGAAUUGACGGGGGCCCGCACAAGCGGUGGAGCAUGUGGUUUAAUUCGAAGCAACGCGAAGAACCUUACCAGGUCUUGACAUCUUUUGAUCACCUGAGAGAUCAGGUUUCCCCUUCGGGGGCAAAAUGACAGGUGGUGCAUGGUUGUCGUCAGCUCGUGUCGUGAGAUGUUGGGUUAAGUCCCGCAACGAGCGCAACCCUUAUGACUAGUUGCCAGCAUUUAGUUGGGCACUCUAGUAAGACUGCCGGUGACAAACCGGAGGAAGGUGGGGAUGACGUCAAAUCAUCAUGCCCCUUAUGACCUGGGCUACACACGUGCUACAAUGGAUGGUACAACGAGUUGCGAGACCGCGAGGUCAAGCUAAUCUCUUAAAGCCAUUCUCAGUUCGGACUGUAGGCUGCAACUCGCCUACACGAAGUCGGAAUCGCUAGUAAUCGCGGAUCAGCACGCCGCGGUGAAUACGUUCCCGGGCCUUGUACACACCGCCCGUCACACCAUGAGAGUUUGUAACACCCGAAGCCGGUGGCGUAACCCUUUUAGGGAGCGAG